rnacentral:rRNA from 1 species
AAGACCUUGUGCUUUUGGAGCGGCCGAUGCCUGAUUAGCUUGUUGGUAAGGUAAAAGCUUACCAAGGCUUCGAUCAGUAGCUGGUCUGAGAGGACGACCAGCCACACUGGGACUGAGGCACGGCCCAGACUCCUACGGGAGGCAGCAGUGGGGAAUUUUGGACAAUGGGGGCAACCCUGAUCCAGCCAUGCCGCGUGAGUGAAGAAGGCCUUCGGGUUGUAAAGCUCUUUCAGCCGGAACGAAACGGUUACGGAUAAUACCCGUGACUACUGACGGUACCGGAAGAAGAAGCACCGGCUAACUACGUGCCAGCAGCCGCGGUAAUACGUAGGGUGCAAGCGUUAAUCGGAAUUACUGGGCGUAAAGCGUGCGCAGGUGGUUUUGUAAGUCAGAUGUGAAAGCCCCGGGCUCAACCUGGGAACU